GACGAACGCUGGCGGCGUGGAUUAGGCAUGCAAGUCGAACGGUAUCAUCCUUUCGGGGGUGAGAGAGUGGCGAACUGGUGAGUAACACGUAGGUUAUCUACCCUCAAGACGGGGACAACCCAGGGAAACUUGGGCUAAUACCGGAUGUGAGCAACUUUUAGUUGUUUGAAAGGUGGCGUAAGCUGUCGCUUGGGGAUGAGCCUGCGUCCUAUUAGUUAGUUGGUGAGGUAACGGCUCACCUAGGCAAUGAUAGGUAGGCGGCCUUAACGGGUGGUCGCCCACACUGGGAUUGAGAUACGGCCCAGACUCCUACGGGAGGCAGCAGUCGAGAAUAGUCUACAAUGGUCGGAAGACUGAUAGUGCGACGCCGCGUGAACGAUGAAUCCCUUCGGGGUGUAAAGUUCUUUUAUAUGUGAGCAGUGCUUCUUAUAUUAACAGUAUGGGGAAGAGAUAUUAGCAUAUGAAUAAGCAACGGCUAACUCCGUGCCAGCAGCCGAGGU
rnacentral:rRNA from 1 species